UGCAAGUCGAACGGAACUCCUAUGAUUGAGGUUUCGGCCAAAAGAAUAGGAUGUUUAGUGGCGGACGGGUGAGUAACGCGUGAGUAACCUGCCUUGGAGUGGGGAAUAACACAGUGAAAACUGUGCUAAUACCGCAUAAUGCAUUUGUGUCGCAUGAUCCUGAAUGCCAAAGAUUUAUCGCUCUGAGAUGGACUCGCGUCUGAUUAGCUGGUUGGCGGGGUAACGGCCCACCAAGGCGACGAUCAGUAGCCGGACUGAGAGGUUGGCCGGCCACAUUGGGACUGAGACACGGCCCAGACUCCUACGGGAGGCAGCAGUGGGGAAUAUUGGGCAAUGGGCGCAAGCCUGACCCAGCAACGCCGCGUGAAGGAAGAAGGCUUUCGGGUUGUAAACUUCUUUUGUCAGGGACGAAGCAAGUGACGGUACCUGACGAAUAAGCCACGGCUAACUACGUGCCAGCAGCCGCGGUAAUACGUAGGUGGCAAGCGUUAUCCGGAUUUACUGGGUGUAAAGGGCGUG
rnacentral:rRNA from 1 species